rnacentral:rRNA from 1 species
AGAGUUUGAUCCUGGCUCAGAUUGAACGCUGGCGGAAUGCUUUACACAUGCAAGUCGAACGGCAGCACGGACUUCGGUCUGGUGGCGAGUGGCGAACGGGUGAGUAAUAUAUCGGAACGUGCCCAGUCGUGGGGGAUAACGUAGUGAAAAUUACGCUAAUACCGCAUACGAUCUACGGAUGAAAGCGGGGGAUCGCAAGACCUCGCGCGAUUGGAGCGGCCGAUAUCAGAUUAGGUAGUUGGUGAGGUAAAGGCUCACCAAGCCGACGAUCUGUAGCUGGUCUGAGAGGACGACCAGCCACACUGGAACUGAGACACGGUCCAGACUCCUACGGGAGGCAGCAGUGGGGAAUUUUGGACAAUGGACGCAAGUCUGAUCCAGCCAUUCCGCGUGCAGGACGAAGGCCUUCGGGUUGUAAACUGCUUUUGUACAGAACGAAAAGGUCUCUAUUAAUACUAGGGGCUCAUGACGGUACUGUAAGAAUAAGCACCGGCUAACUACGUGCCAGCAGCCGCGGUAAUACGUAGGGUGCAAGCGUUAAUCGGAAUUACUGGGCGUAAAGCGUGCGCAGGCGGUUAUAUAAGACAGAUGUGAAAUCCCCGGGCUCAACCUGGGAACUGCAUUUGUGACUGUAUAGCUGGAGUGCGGCAGAGGGGGGUGGAAUUCCGCGUGUAGCAGUGAAAUGCGUAGAUAUGCGGAGGAACACCGAUGGCGAAGGCAAUCCCCUGGGCCUGCACUGACGCUCAUGCACGAAAGCGUGGGGAGCAAACAGGAUUAGAUACCCUGGUAGUCCACGCCCU